rnacentral:rRNA from 1 species
CAACAGGGCAUUGCCUUAGUAACGGCGAGUGAAGCGGCAAAAGCUCAAAUUUGAAAUCUGGCACCUUCGGUGUCCGAGUUGUAAUUUGAAGAAGGUAACUUUGGAGUUGGCUCUUGUCUAUGUUCCUUGGAACAGGACGUCACAGAGGGUGAGAAUCCCGUGCGAUGAGAUGCCCAAUUCUAUGUAAAGUGCUUUCGAAGAGUCGAGUUGUUUGGGAAUGCAGCUCUAAGUGGGUGGUAAAUUCCAUCUAAAGCUAAAUAUUGGCGAGAGACCGAUAGCGAACAAGUACAGUGAUGGAAAGAUGAAAAGAACUUUGAAAAGAGAGUGAAAAAGUACGUGAAAUUGUUGAAAGGGGAAGGGCUUGAGAUCAGAACUUGGAUUUUGC